CCUACGGGUGGCUGCAGUCGAGAAUCAUUCACAAUGGGGGAAACCCUGAUGGUGCGACGCCGCGUGGGGGAAUGAAGGUCUUCGGAUGGUAAACCCCUGUCAUGUGGGAGCAAAUUACAAUGAUAGUACCACAAGAGGAAGAGACGGCUAACUCUGGGCCAGCAGCCGCGGUAAUACAGAGGGCGCAAGCGUUGUUCGGAAUGACUGGGCGUAAAGCGUGCGUAGGCUGUUUCGUAAGUCGUGUGUGAAAGGCGCGGGCUCAACCCGGGGACGGCACAUGAUACUGCGAGACUAGAGUGAUGGAGGGGGAAGCGGAAUUCUCGGUGGAGCAGUGAAAUGCGUAGAUA
rnacentral:rRNA from 1 species